GACGAACGCUGGCGGCGCGCCUAACACAUGCAAGUCGAACGAGCGAGAGAGAGCUUGCUUUCUCGAGCGAGUGGCGAACGGGUGAGUAACGCGUGAGGAACCUGCCUCAAAGAGGGGGACAACAGUUGGAAACGACUGCUAAUACCGCAUAAGCCCACGGCUCGGCAUCGAGCAGGGGGAAAAGGAGCAAUCCGCUUUGAGAUGGCCUCGCGUCCGGUUAGCUAGUUGGUGAGGUAACGGCCCACCAAGGCGACGAUCGGUAGCCGGACUGAGAGGUUGAACGGCCACAUUGGGACUGAGACACGGCCCAGACUCCUACGGGAGGCAGCAGUGGGGAAUAUUGCACAAUGGGGGAAACCCUGAUGCAGCGACGCCGCGUGGAGGAAGAAGGUCUUCGGAUUGUAAACUCCUGUUGUUGGGGAAGAUAAUGACGGUACCCAACAAGGAAGUGACGGCUAACUACGUG
rnacentral:rRNA from 1 species